UACGGAGGGUGCAAGCGUUGUUCGGAAUUACUGGGCGUAAAGCGCGUGUAGGCGGCUGGGUAAGUCAGAUGUGAAAGCCUUCCGCUUAACGGAAGAAGGGCAUUUGAAACUGCCCGGCUUGAGUACGGGAGAGGAGAGUGGAAUUCCCGGUGUAGAGGUGAAAUUCGUAGAUAUCGGGAGGAACACCAGUGGCGAAGGCGGCUCUCUGGCCCGAUACUGACGCUGAGACGCGAAAGCGUGGGGAGCAAACAGG
rnacentral:rRNA from 1 species